rnacentral:rRNA from 1 species
CCUUGACAUACUAAGAACUUUCCAGAGAUGGAUUGGUGCCUUCGGGAACUUAGAUACAGGUGCUGCAUGGCUGUCGUCAGCUCGUGUCGUGAGAUGUUGGGUUAAGUCCCGNAACGAGCGCAACCCUUUUCCUUAUUUGCCAGCGGGUCAUGCCGGGAACUUUAAGGAUACUGCCAGUGACAAACUGGAGGAAGGCGGGGACGACGUCAAGUCAUCAUGGCCCUUACGGCCAGGGCUACACACGUGCUACAAUGGUCGGUACAAAGGGUUGCUACCUCGCGAGAGGAUGCUAAUCUCAAAAAGCCAAUCGUAGUCCGGAUCGCAGUCUGCAACUCGACUGCGUGAAGUCGGAAUCGCUAGUAAUCGCGGAUCAGAAUGCCGCGGUGAAUACGUUCCCGGGCCUUGUACACACCGCCCGUCACACCAUGGGAGUUUGUUGCACCAGAAGUAGGUAGUCUAACCGCAAGGAGGACGCUUACCACGGUGUGGCCGAUGACUGGGGUGAAGUCGUAACAAGGUAAGCGUAGAUGA